UAUCUCUGUAGAGUCUGCAUAUCAAUAAGCGGAGGAAAAGAAACUAACAAGGAUUCCCCUAGUAACGGCGAGUGAAGCGGGAAGAGCUCAAAUUUGAAAUCUUCAAGGUUUGACCUUGACGAAUUGUAGUUUAAAGAAGUGUUUUCGGUUAGAGGAGUAGUAAAAGUUCUUUGGAAUAGGACAUCAUAGAGGGUGAGAAUCCCGUAUUUGACUAUUCUUUCUAGCUUUGUGAUACACUUUCAAAGAGUCGGAUUGUUUGGGAAUGCAGUCCAAAAUGGGUGGUAAAUUUCAUCUAAAGCUAAAUAUUGGCGAGAGACCGAUAGCGAACAAGUACCGUGAGGGAAAGAUGAAAGGAACUUUGAAAAGAGAGUUAAACAGUACGUGAAAUUGUCAAAAGGGAAGCGUUUGACACCAGUGUUGUUUUUCCGAAAAUCAAUUAAAAAUUGAUUCAUGCCAGGUUGUAUUGACCUUAUCAGCUUGCAAUUUGGUUUGGGGUCUCUUUUUGAUGCACUUUUCGGUUAACAAGUCUACAUCAAUUUCCUUUGCUGUAAAAAGGUAAGAGGAAGGUGGCUUCAAUUUCGGUUGAAGUGUUUAUAGCCUUUUAUCUCUGCAGUCGGGGAGAUUGAGGUCUGCAGCGUAGAUCCUUCGGGGCUAGAUACAUUUAUGCUAAGUUAUAGCUUUUCAUAGACAACUUGUUGACUAUGUUUAGUCAUGUAGCUUACUCGCUAAGUGCUAUUUUACCUACGCUUAGGAUGUUGAAGACUCUACAGAGAUA
rnacentral:rRNA from 1 species